rnacentral:rRNA from 1 species
UACGGAGGGGGCAAGCGUUGUUCGGAAUUACUGGGCGUAAAGGGCGCGUAGGCGGCCCGCUAAGUCGAACGUGAAAUCCCCGGGCUUAACCUGGGAACUGCGUCCGAUACUGGCAGGCUUGAAUCCGGGAGAGGGAUGUGGAAUUCCAGGUGUAGCGGUGAAAUGCGCAGAUAUCAGGAGGAACACCGGUGGCGAAGGCAGGUCUCUGGGCAUUAACUGACGCUGAGGAGCGAAAGCAUGGGGAGCGAACAGG